AUAACACAGUGUGUCCAAGAGGGUUUUGUCAAUGGGGGGUGUGUGUGUGUGUGUGUGUGUAUAUAUAUAUAUAUAUAUAUACACACACACACACACACACACACGUGCGCGUAUACAUAUGUGUGUGUAUAUAUAUAUAUAUAUAUCCCAUAUUUUAAAAUAGCAACAGGGAAAAUGAUUGGUAAAACUUGAAAAGUGC